rnacentral:rRNA from 1 species
AAUGAACGCUGGCGGCAUGCCUAACACAUGCCAGUCGAACGGCAGCACAGGAAGCGCUCUCUCUUACGGUUGGCGACUGGCGGGUGGGUAACGCGUACAUAACCUUCUUCUUUUUCUGGGGUGAUAACGUAAGAACACAUACGCUACUACAUCAUACGUUGAACGGGUGAAAGCAGUAGAUCUUCGGACCUUGCGCGUCUCAAUGAGCCGAUGUCGGAUUAGCUAGUUGGCGGGGUAAAGGCCCACCAAGGCGACGAUCCGUAGCUGGUCUGAGAGGAUGAUCGGCCACACUGGAACUGAGACACGGUCCAGACUCCUACGGGAGGCAGCAGUAGGGAAUCUUGGACAAUGGGCGCAAGCCUGAUGCAGCAAUGCCGCGUGAGUGAAGAAGGUCUUCGGGUCGUAAAGCCCUGUUGUUAGGAAAGAACAAAUGCGUGUGAAUCCAUGGCUGUUUUGACGGUACCUAAAGAAUAAGCACCGGCUAACUACGUG